rnacentral:rRNA from 1 species
GAUGAACGCUGGCGGCGUGCUUAACACAUGCAAGUCGAACGGACUGCGGGAGCUUGCUCCCAAAGUUAGUGGCGGACGGGUGAGUAACGCGUGGGUAACCUACCCUAUGCAGGGGGGAUAACAUUUGGAAACAGAUGCUAAUACCGCAUAACCUAAGUUUUUCGCAUGAGAAACUUAGCAAAGAUUUAUCGGCAUAGGAUGGACCCGCGUUGGAUUAGCUAGUUGGUGAGAUAAAAGCUCACCAAGGCCACGAUCCAUAGCCGGCCUGAGAGGGUGAACGGCCACACUGGGACUGAGACACGGCCCAGACUCCUACGGGUGGCUG